ACGGUACCUGCAGAAAAAGCGCCGGCUAACUACGUGCCAGCAGCCGCGGUAAUACGUAGGGCGCAAGCGUUAUCCGGAAUUAUUGGGCGUAAAGAGCUCGUAGGCGGUUUGUCGCGUCUGCUGUGAAAUCCCGAGGCUCAACCUCGGGCCUGCAGUGGGUACGGGCAGACUAGAGUGCGGUAGGGGAGAUUGGAAUUCCUGGUGUAGCGGUGGAAUGCGCAGAUAUCAGGAGGAACACCGAUGGCGAAGGCAGAUCUCUGGGCCGUAACUGACGCUGAGGAGCGAAAGGGUGGGGAGCAAACAGGCUUAGAUACCCUGGUAGUCCACCCCGUAAACGUUGGGAACUAGUUGUGGGGUCCAUUCCACGGAUUCCGUGACGCAGCUAACGCAUUAAGUUCCCCGCCUGGGGAGUACGGCCGCAAGGC
rnacentral:rRNA from 1 species